ACACACCUCAUCCUAGGACUUACUGAAGCUCAGGUUCUUUAUGUCUCAUCGCAGAAAGAAUUCAGUGAGAGACAAAGUGAUAGAUAAGAAGUGGAUUUAUUUAGAGAGAUACACAUUCCAUAGAGAGAAUGAGGUCUGUCUCAAAAGGUGAGAAUGGCCUUGGGAGAAACACACUCCACAGACAGAGUGUGCGCCAUUUUCAUCUCAGAAGGCAAGAGGGCCUGAAAUAUAGGUGGUUAGGUUUUAUGGACUGGGUAAUUUCAUAGGCUAAUGAGUGGGAGAUUAUUCCAACUAUUUUGGGGAACGGGAGGGGAUUUCCAGGAAUUGGGCCACUGCCCACUUUUUGCCCUUUUCUGGUUGGCCUUGGAACUGUCAUGGCGCUGGUGGGUGCAUCACUUGGCUAGUGUAAUACAAUGAGCAUAUAAUGACGCUCAAGGUCCACUAGAAGUCAAAUCUUCUGUCAUCUUGGACCUAGUUGGUUCUAACCCAUUUACGUCACAUCCUCAGGGGCUAUGUCAUUCUUUUAAACGUUGUGCUCUGCCCCCUUCCCUCUUGUUUCAACAGGAGGGGCUCCUCACUCAGACUCUGACUGGGGUUCAGGUGGUCAGAGGAACUUUCCUAGAGAGAGCUAUGUCUAAUCUGAGGCCUUGGAAAUGAUGAGUUGGAUUUAGCCAUCUGAAGGUGCAAUGGGAAGGAGGCUGGGGGGGAGUGGUGGGAUGAUGAGUGCUCUGAGCUGAGGGAACAGCAAAUGCAGAGGCACAGAAAGUAGUUUCAUGCAUAUAGAGCUCAGGGGCUGGGGGAAAAGCUAGAGCGAAGUAGGGGUAAGCAGAGGCGUCCCCAGGCUCAAGAAGGCGCUUGGACUUGACCCUGAGGGCAGUGGGGAAUCCCUGAAGGACUUUAAACCAGAUACACAACUUGACAAUUAUUGUUCUGAUUGUGUUAGACGGAAGGGAUGAGAAAGAUCAAGACUGGAGUUAAGGGGAAGGGUAAACAGGCUACUGGGAUAAUCUGGGCACGAGGGACUGUGACCUGUACCCUUUUCUAGGGUAAAGGCAGUGGGGUGAAGAGAAACGGAUGGGCUACAGUGCCCUUUAGGAGGUGGAGGAUAUAGGGGUUGAUGGCUGUGUGGAUCUGGGACCCAGAGCUGCUGGAUGGUUUGUGUGCCUUAUAUGAGGAAUUAGCAAGAAGGAGGUUUUUUCUGACCACUCUGAUUUUAAGGAAUGUGUGGAAUUGCCAUGUGGUUUCAGCAAAGCUCAGGAGAGCACAGAAGACAAGAAAUCUGAGAAUGAUCAGCAUAGAGAUGAUAGUUAAAUAGACAGUAUCACCCAGGGAGAGACUGUACAGAAGAAGGGAAGGAAAGGAAAUACCAAAGAUGUACACUUUUUUUUUUUUUUUUUUUUUGCAGUACGCGGGCCUCUCACUGCUGUGGCCUCUCCCGUUGCAGAGCACAGGCUCCGGACGCGCAGGCUCAGCGGCCAUGGCUCACGGGCCCAGCCGCUCCGCGGCAUGUGGGAUCUUCCCGGACCGGGGCACGAACCUGUGUCCCCUGCAUCGGCAGGCGGACUCUCAACCACUGCGCCACCAGGGAAGCCCCGAGAUGCACACAUUAAAGGAAUGGGAAGGAGGAUGAGGAGUGGGAGGGGGAAGGGGAGGGGGAGGGGGAAGGAGGGGAAGAAGAAGGAGAAGAAGAAGAAGAAGGAGGAGAAGGAGAAGGAGAAGAACCACUACCAUCCCCCACAGAGGAGCUGGAAAGGAGAGGCAGGAGUGACGGAAGGAACCAGGAAAAGUUCUGACCCAAAAAAGUUCUUCUUUCAAGAAAGAAGGAGUGGUCAUCAGUGUCAGAUGGUGCUCGAAAUGAAAGGACAAUGUUUGAACACUGCAAAAUUAUGGGCAGUGCGGAAAUGAAAGCAAUACGUUCAGGUGCCUUUUUCAAGCCAAUGCCCUGAGGGGUCCAUGGAAUCAAGGAAGAGCGUUUUAUACAGAAGAAACUUAAUCUGUUUAGAUACCAAUGGGAAAGUGCCAAGAGAGAGAGGUUGAAAAUCCAAAAGGGAGAAUGGAUAAAGCAAGGCUCUUGAGAUGUGGAAGACUGAGAUCGGUGCUGGGUUCAAGAGCUGAAUUAGGUAGAAGGAGAAAUGGCACCUCCACCUUAAGAGUCAAGAAGGAGAACAGUGCGGGACGGGCCAGACAAGUUUGUAGGCUAGGCGAUCGGCUGUUGAGCUCUUAUUCUAUUUGCAAGCUCCAGAAAUCCAAACCUUAUAAGGCAUGUAUUUUAUAGAUAACAAUAAGAAGGGAUGAAGAAAUCAUGUCCAAAUGAGUUCAGUACAACUUUAUACAAGGACAGUUUUGUUUGUGUUUUCACCAUUUAAAACUUGCACUCCCAUUCUAAAGACAAAAAAAUAAACAGAUAGUAACUUUAAAUAUAUGCUUCUAUGACAUAGUUAAAAUUUCCAUGUCAACCUCUUUGAACUGUCAGAAAACUAAACACAGGAGUUUUUGGCAUGACGUUUUCCCGAAACAAGGUAUUCUAGAUGAAUGGGCUCUCUAGAUUACUGAUGUUUAAAUCUGUAUAUCUUUGAUGAUUGUUGAUCAAAUCUUGCCACAAUUCAGUGAUCCUCCUAAACACUACUGAAUUUGAUGACGGCUGUCUGCUACGGUACCAGGCAUGCAAGCUGCCCGUCUUUACAGGAAGGUGAUUCAUUCCGUAUUACUUCUUAAAAAACUGUUUAAUAAGACUGACAGAACUGUUUUAAAAACAAACAAAUAAAUACUCACUAUUACCUUAAUUCCAAUUUUAAUCCACCGUCCACACAAAUUAGAAUCAACUCAAGGAUGCCAAGGAAAUCCAGAUGACCUGGACGAACCCAUGCUCUGUCAACAAAGAGGCACUGCUCAAGAAGUUUAUUUUUACUUAUUUCUGGAUUAGUAGCUGAAUUUCAGAUUAAAGAUGCUAGAAGUACAUUCAUGGACUAGGAGGUGUGUUAAAAGUACAAGAAAGCUCUUUUUGUCUGAAGGCAAAAACUGAGAAGUCCUUUAGAACACUCUGAUUUCUUCUAAUCAUUCCCUUUCCAGAGCCAAAGUAUCCCUCUUAAUUCACUUACCCCACACCCUCCUCAAAAGGCUACCUAAUUUAGUUGUUAGAAUGCAGCCACUUUUGUUUCAAUGCUAGGCAAAAUUCCUUCCAUCAAACUGUGGCAGAAAAGGAAUUCAACCAGAAUUCACAUUCGUUUUUAAUUCAUGUUCAAGAAAUUUAGAUGGAUACCAUGUCGAGUAUACUUAUGGUUUAUGGUUUUGCUGUAAAGUCAUUUCUUGAAAAAUAGUCAUUUUUGAAACUAUAUUUUUAAUUUUGAAAAGCAUGUUCUGAUUUGGUACUUCUUAAAAUACAGAAACAAUAUAUCACCAGAGAUCUUUAUCCUUAGCAUCUUGGCAGAUUGCUGAAACACUGCUAUUGGCUGAGAGGUUUGGAAAUUCAUGUUGGCUUCCAAUAAAUCUGAAUAAAACCUUUCUAUUAUGUGCUCAGAGAAAGUAAUUAAAACAGUGCCAGCUCUUCAUCAUCAUGAUUCAAAGCCUCUAAAUUCAAGUUUGGAAUAUGCAAACUAAGAAGAAUUUUAAAAAUUAAAAUAACUUGAAAUGGCGAGGUCCUUAAAACUGAAGUCUGACAGUCAUGUCACAUUUAUAUUCUACUUAUUAAUAUGCAGUAACUACAAACAACUUCUCCAACUUAAGUUUUCACCAGAUUUUUCUAUUUUUAUAUUAUUGCAUAGACUGAACUCAACUGAUCAGUUGCUUAAUGACUGUCAAUUUCUCUAAAAAAAUCAAGCCUUAGAAAUU